CCCGGGGGAACCACGGCGCUCCUCCCGCUACUCCCCCGGCCCCAUUCGGGCCUCCCGUUGCCUCGAAUAAUCAAGAAAACCCAAUUUUUUUAACAAGCUUUUUUGUUGUUGUUGUUUUUAUUAAUUUUUUUUUCUUAUUUUACCCCAACGCGGCCCUCACGAAAUCUCCUCCCGCCCCGCGGCCGGCGACAAAAUGGCAGCGCUGCCCGUCAUGUCGGGAGGGCUCCGCCGCAACCUCCGCAGCGCCUCAGCCCCGGCGCCAGCGGGGCUCCCUCACGGCCCCGCGGGGCCGCCCGCGGCCGAGGCAGCAGCGGCGGCGGCGGGAGGAGGAGGAGGAGAUGGAGGAGGAGGAGGAGGCGGCGGCCGUGAGGGGAAGGCGGGGGUGCUGAGGGUGGGGGGUUGGGGGGGGCAGCACAGAACAUGGCGCCGCGUCCUACUUGGCGCUGCGGUCGCCUCACGGAGCCCCCCCGGCCAUGGCGGUUGUACCGUUGAGUCGUCCCCCCACCCCCGCCCGCCACCUUCGCCGUCCUCCUCCUCUUCCUCCUCCUCCUGCUCGCCCAGGAGUUUUUAAACUUUAAAGCGCAGCUUCCGCCGCCCCGCGCCCGCCUUUGUCGUUCCCCCCCCCUCCUCACCCCCCCUUUCCCCGGAGCACACCGCGCUCGGUUCGGCCGCCGCGUCCCGCCGCGCUGCCCCGGGCGAUGCCCGCUGAGCAUCUGGAGAGAGGGAGAGAGAGAGAGAGAGAGAGAGAAAGGGCGCGUUCAUGAGGACUACAAAGUUACAAAUAUGGCUCCCCAGUCUCUCUUGCCUGAUCACUGCAAAGAAAUGAAGACGCACUUUAAACUAAACCAUUCGCAACUCACUCGCAGUCCCUGCCUGCCUCUCCCUAGCCCAGCACCCUGCACAAAUAUUUGCCAACUAAACACGCCGAGAGAGAGAGCAGCGAGCAACUUAUUUUUUAUUUAAUGCACGGCCAGCCCCUCUCCGAGGCAUCGCAGCCCGGCACGGGCAGGAGCAGCCCCGGGGAGCCCCCGAACGUCCCCGGAGCGCCCCGCGCCCCCAAAAGCGGGGGGCACAGCCCCCCACACACACAGGUAGGCACCUCAAGGGCAGCAGCGGCCCCGCCAACACCUGGCACGCUCCACCCCGCCAAAAAAAAAAAAAAUUUAAAAAAAAAAAACCGUGGGGAUGCCUUUUUAUUAUUCUCAUCAUUAGCGUUAUUAGCGUUAAUUUUUUUUUUUUUUUUUUUUUUUUUUGGGCAUUGCAUUGCUUACAUCUGAGGGCGUCCUGUUCCGCAGCUCUAAGUGGAUCCUUCUCUUCAUCUCCAUGUCCGUGGCUGGCGGGAGGCGCGGAGGGUGCGCGGCUCGGCUGGCGCAGUGACCCCGUGCAGAGCCCCCCGAUCGCGGGGCGCGGAGGGACUCGGGCUCGCCCAGCGCCGCUCGGAAGCCCGAGCGCAGCACCGCGGCGCGCACUAACCUGAUAACCGCGGGGGCGGGCGCUCCGCCGCGAUUGACGGCGCGCUCGGCCAAUCGCGGCGCGCCGCCGCCGCCGCUCGACCAAUCAGCAGCGCGAGGCGCGGCGGAAGCCAAUGGGGGAGCGGCUGUGCCGGGCAGGGGGACAGCCCGGCGCCGAGCCCAGGCUCAUUCCGCGCUGCCGCCUGAUGGGGACGGAGCGGCCGCGGCUCCGCCGCGCCGGGCGCGCCGCGCGCUGCGCCCUGCGCCCACCCGAGCCUGGGGGAGGCGCCGGGGUGGGGAGCGGCGGCCAAAGCGGAGCCGCCCGGCCAGGGGAGCGCAGCCAGGAGGGAGGGAAAGGCGCUGCAGGAUGAGGAUCCAAGGCAAGAGCUGCUCUUUUCCAAGGAUUUGGGAUUUCCAAGCUGUUCCCAUCAGCUGGAGCAAAACUCGGGACAGGAUGGAGAUAAAGUCUCAGCUGUGAGCACGGAAGAAUUCCAGGAAUAUGGAUAAAACCAGCGAGAAUUGUGUUGGGAAUGGGAUGGGAAAAGCUGGAUCCGUCUCCAGGUGUCUCCAGAAGUGGCUCCUGGGCUGAAUCUUUGGGAAUUUUUCAUGGAAUUUCUUCUCCUGGUGCUGUUGAAAACCUUUGGAAAAGGACUGUUCUCCUGGAAAAAAAAUUUCUGGGACAAUCUGGGAUUUCAAAGGAAUUUCUGGGAAUCCAAAGCUGCUUUUUCCUUUGGUUUUUUUCCCAGAGAAAAAAAUGCGGAUUUUGAUUGUUUGAAGGUGCAGAAAAUUCCUUCUUUUGUUACUGAGGGAAUUUAUUUCCAGUUCCAAGCCAGAAUUCCAUGUUUAAAGCUGCUCCUGUCGUUGUUUGUAUUCCAAGAGUUUGGGAAUUAAAAAAAAAUUGGGAAUUGUAAUAUUUGGAAUAAAUCUGAAGGGUUAUUUUUCCAUGGUACAAUUUUCCUUCUGUGAUUUUUAAUUCCUGGGGUGUUCUUUCCUGCUUUGUUUUUUAUAGGAAUUCUGAAUUUGUGGGACUGGUUUUUAAUGGGAAUGGUUGGGGUUUUUUCCUGUUUCUAUCACGAAUUUAGAAUUUAUGGGAUUGGUUUUUGCGGGAAUUUGAGUUUUCCCUUGUUUUUAACAGGAAUUUGUAAUGGAAUUCCUGGGAUUUCUCCUGUUUAUUUUUAAGAGGAAUUUUGAAUUUGUGGGAUUUGUUUUUAUCAGGAAUUUUUAAUGGAAUUCCUGGGACUUUUCCUUGUUUAUUUCACCACGAAUUUUGAAAUUAUUUGGAUGUGUUUUUAAGGGGAAUUUUCAAUGGAAUUUGUCCUGUCUGUUUUUACCAGGAAUUCUGAAUUUAUGGGAUUUUUUUCCUUGUUAAUUUUUAACAGGAAUUUGUGGAGUUUUUCCCUUGUUAAUUUUUACCAGGAAUUCUCAGUUUGUGGGAUUUUUCCUUGUUUAUUUUUAAGAGGAAUUUUGAAUUGAUGGAAUUGGUUUUUAGCAGGAAUUUGUGAUGGAAUUUGUGGAAUUUUUCCUUGUUUAUUUUUAAGAGGAAUUUUGAAUUUGUGGGGUUGGGUUUUUUUUCCUAGGAAUUUAAAGGGUUUUCCCCUUGGCUGUUUGAACAGGAAUUUUGAAUUGAUGGGAUUUAUUUUUCCCAGGAAUUUCUGGGAUUUUCCCUUGUUUGUUUUCCCAGGAAUUUCUGGGAUUUUCCCUUGUUUAUUUCCCACAGGAAAUUGCAACUUUUCCCUUUCUUUUCCCAGGAUUCCCUCCCAAAUUCCACAGGAAUCCUCCUGUUCCUGGGGUGAAUUCCCCUGGAAAAUCCCUGGGAAUUGUUUGUUCAUCCCUUGAAUGUCCCUUUGCUUUCCCACACAAAGAUUUCCUUCUUUUAAUUGGGAACAACUCCCAGCUCUGCACGGCUGGGAAUGGAAAAAAUUCCCAAAAUCCCCCAAAUCCCCACCCUCAGCUUUCCCAGCUGGGGAACUUUGGGAUCAAACAAAUCCCUGGGAUCCAGGAAUUCCGUGGAAAACACCCUUGGGAUGCCACGGGAAUUUCCAAGUUGUGGUUUAACCCCUUAAAGUUGGAAUUUUUUGCAACGUUCCAGCGAAAAAAUUGGGAAAAUCUGAUUUAAAAAUUGAGGAAAAGCUGAUUUGAAGGUAAAACAUGAGGAGAAAAAUUCCAGGAUAGCUCCAAAAUUCCCUGAAUUGGAAUUUAUUUUUUUAAUUAAAUAAGCUUUCUCCUGAGAAAAUGUACAGAAUAAUUGGAAUAUUCCUGAUUUUUCUGAUGGAAUUUUCCAAUAUUUUCCUGCUUUACUGGCCUGGAUUAAUUUGGUAAAAUCGCCCAAAAAUUCAGGAUGAGUUAAAAAUCCAAGGAAUUCUGGGAUAAUCCUUCAGAAUUUAGGGACAAUGGGUGAAAAACAUGGAAAAAUUGAAUAAAUUUGAAGUAAAAUCCA